AGUGAACGCUGGCGGUAGGCCUAACACAUGCAAGUCGAACGGCAGCACAGUAAGAGCUUGCUCUUACGGGUGGCGAGUGGCGGACGGGUGAGGAAUACAUCGGAAUCUACUUUUUCGUGGGGGAUAACGUAGGGAAACUUACGCUAAUACCGCAUACGACCUACGGGUGAAAGCAGGGGAUCUUCGGACCUUGCGCGAUUGAAUGAGCCGAUGUCGGAUUAGCUAGUUGGCGGGGUAAAGGCCCACCAAGGCGACGAUCCGUAGCUGGUCUGAGAGGAUGAUCAGCCACACUGGAACUGAGACGCGGUCCAGACUCCUACGGGAGGCAGCAGUGGGGAAUAUUGGACAAUGGGCGCAGGCCUGAUCCAGCCAUACCGCGUGGGUGAAGAAGGCCUUCGGGUUGUAAAGCCCUUUUGUUGGGAAAGAAAAGCAGCAGGUUAAUACCCCGCUGUUCUGACGGUACCCAAAGAAUAAGCACCGGCUAACUUCGU
rnacentral:rRNA from 1 species